CCUACGGGUGGCAGCAGUGAGGAAUAUUGGUCAAUGGUCGGGAGACUGAACCAGCCAAGCCGCGUGAGGGAGGAAGGUACAGAGUAUCGUAAACCUCUUUUGUCAGGGAACAAAGACUGGGACGCGUCCCCGGAUGAGUGUACCUGAAGAAAAAGCAUCGGCUAACUCCGUGCCAACAGCCGCGGUAAUACGGAGGAGGCGAGCGUUAUCCGGAUUUAUGGGGUUGAAAGGGAGUGCAGUGGGUCUGUUAAGUCCACGUGCAAACCCCGGGUCCAACCCCCGGCCCGCCGUUGAGACUGGCAGGCUCGAGUUGGAGAGAAGUAGGCGGAAUGCGCGGUGUAGCGGUGAAAUGCAUAGAUAUCGCGCAGAACUCCGAUUGCGAAGGCAGCAUGCCGGCUCCACACUGACGCUGAGGCACGAAAGCGUGGGUAUCGAACAGGAUUAGAUACCCGGGUAGUC
rnacentral:rRNA from 1 species